UUGGUGCCUUCGGGAACUGUGAGACAGGUGCUGCAUGGCUGUCGUCAGCUCGUGUUGUGAAAUGUUGGGUUAAGUCCCGCAACGAGCGCAACCCUUAUCCUUUGUUGCCAGCGAUUCGGUCGGGAACUCAAAGGAGACUGCCGGUGAUAAACCGGAGGAAGGUGGGGAUGACGUCAAGUCAUCAUGGCCCUUACGGCCAGGGCUACACACGUGCUACAAUGGCGCAUACAAAGAGAAGCGACCUCGCGAGAGCAAGCGGACCUCAUAAAGUGCGUCGUAGUCCGGAUCGGAGUCUGCAACUCGACUCCGUGAAGUCGGAAUCGCUAGUAAUCGUAGAUCAGAAUGCUACGGUGAAUACGUUCCCGGGCCUUGUACACACCGCCCGUCACACCAUGGGAGUGGGUUGCAAAAGAAGUAGGUAGCUUAACCUUCGGGAGGGCGCUUACCACUUUGUGAUUCAUGACUGGGGUGAAGUCGUAACAAGGUAACCGUAGGGGAACCUGCGGUUGGAUCACCUCCUUACCUGAA
rnacentral:rRNA from 1 species